GAUGAACGCUGGCGGCGUGCCUAAUACAUGCAAGUCGAGCGAACAGAUGAGAAGCUUGCUUCUCUGAUGUUAGCGGCGGACGGGUGAGUAACACGUGGGUAACCUACCUAUAAGACUGGGAUAACUCCGGGAAACCGGGGCUAAUACCGGAUAAUAUUUUGAACCGCAUGGUUCAAUAGUGAAAGACGGUUUCGGCUGUCACUUAUAGAUGGACCCGCGCCGUAUUAGCUAGUUGGUAAGGUAACGGCUUACCAAGGCGACGAUACGUAGCCGACCUGAGAGGGUGAUCGGCCACACUGGAACAGAGACACGGUCCAGACUCCUACGGGAGGCAGCAGUAGGGAAUCUUCCGCAAUGGGCGAAAGCCUGACGGAGCAACGCCGCGUGAGUGAUGAAGGUCUUCGGAUCGUAAAACUCUGUUGUUAGGGAAGAACAAAUUUGUUAGUAACUGAACAAGUCUUGACGGUACCUAACCAGAAAGCCACGGCUAACUACGUGCCAGCCGCCGCCGAUA
rnacentral:rRNA from 1 species